GCACCCGUUAAGCCUUGUAGGCGUAAUUUUUAGUAAACAAAUUGUAAAUUCGGUUAAGAUACGUUAGAUAAAGCACAGGAAAAGGAUAUUCGACGCUAAGUGAAAGGAGAGGGCAAACACGUAUAGGAAAAACAACGUUGGGCAAUGAUUUCUAUUACAUAACCAAAAUUAUGACGCUGCGCUUGAUGAACAGACACUUGUUUUGGAUUCGCACGGCUUGUGGAGCAGCUGGGUUGCCCAAUGGAUUGCUGGAUGGACCCCCAACUUC